GCCGGGCGUGGUGGUGGGUGCCUGUAAUCCCAGCUACUCAGGAGGCUGAGGCAGAAGAAUUGCUUGAGCCCAGGAGGCGGAGGGUGCAGUAAGCAGAGACCGCGCCACUGCACUCCAGCCUAGGCAACAGAGCAAGACUCUGUCUCCA
rnacentral:SRP_RNA from 2 species